rnacentral:lncRNA from 1 species
AUGUCCUCGGAAACCCGUAUACUAGCCAUGUCAUGCCUAAUCACCUCUCCCCAAUACCUCUUAGGCCUCCCUCUGCCUCGCCGAACGCCGACCAUCGCCAGCCGUUCACAACUCCUCACCGGAGCAUCAGGACUUCUCCUUCGCACAUGCCCGAACCACCUCAGCCUCGCUUCUCGCACUUCUCCUCCACCGGGGUCACCCCCACCUUCUCUCGAAUAACUUCAUUAUUAAUCUUAUCUAACCUGGUGAGCCCCCACAUCCACCUGAGCAUCCUCAUCUCCGCAACCUU